GCGGAGGGAUCAUUACCGAGUGAGGGCCCACCGGCCCGACCUCCAACCCUUUGUGAACCAAAACUUGUUGCUUCGGGGGCGACCCUGCCGUUCGCGGCGGCCGGCGCCCCCGGAGGACCCCCAACACUGCAUCUUUGCGUCGGAGUCUUACACACAAAUGAAACAAAACUUUCAACAACGGAUCUCUUGGUUCUGGCAUCGAUGAAGAACGCAGCGAAAUGCGAUAAGUAAUGUGAAUUGCAGAAUUCAGUGAAUCAUCGAAUCUUUGAACGCACAUUGCGCCCCGUGGUAUUCCGCGGGGCAUGCCUGUUCGAGCGUCAUUUCACCACUCGAGUCUGACUCGGUGUUGGGGGCCGCGACCCGUUCGCGCCCCUUAAAGUCUCCGGCUGGGCAGCCCGUCUCCGAGCGUUGUGGCAUCACAGUCUCGCUAGGGAGUCGCGGGCGGCAUCGGCCGUUAAACACCCCAUCAAAGGUUGACCUCGGAUCAG
rnacentral:rRNA from 1 species